rnacentral:rRNA from 1 species
UACGUAGGGAGCAAGCGUUGUCCGGAAUCAUUGGGCGUAAAGCGCGCGUAGGUGGCUUCAUAAGUCCGUUGCGAAAGUCAAAGGCUCAACCUUUGAAAGGCGAUGGAUACUGUGAAGCUAGAGUACGGAAGAGGCGAGUGGAAUUCCUGGUGUAGCGGUGGAAUGCGCAGAUAUCAGGAGGAACACCAAUAGCGAAGGCAGCUCGCUGGGACGUUACUGACACUGAGGCGCGAAAGCGUGGGGAGCGAACAGG